UCUUCUUUUGUCCAAUUCUGCAUCCCCUCAUCCAUUCUAAACCACCUAUUGUGUGUCCUUUUCUGCCUUUUUCCAUCCCUUACUUUAUUCAUUUUCUAGAUCAUUCUUAUUUUUACUUUGUCUGAGUUUUCUGCUCAUUGGACAACUGUGUUUCCCAGUUUCUUGAUUUAUCCUUUUCUGUUUGGGAUCAAUUCUCCCUCCUAUCCUCCUGGCUCUGUGACUGUCCCUCUGCUCCCAAGUGGAAUUUGUGAACAGAGAGGCAACUCUGAAGUAGCCCACCCUGUCAGGGCUCCCUCUUUAGUGGAAUUUCAUUUUCUCUCUCCUCCCAGCUCUGUACCUGCAGCAGCCCCUGGAAAACAUAAAGCCAGUUGUGAGAAGGAGGCACAAGGACAGCUGUUGAUCCUGAAAAUGGUUCUAAUUUGUCUCUGUCUCAUUAGCUUAAUGCUGAUGCUGGCGGCCCCCAGGUUGCUGACUUCCUUUUUCAAGCUUGGUGACUUUCUUUUCAACUUGGCCUGAGGCUUAUCAGAUCCAGAGAUGAAGCUGACAGUUCAGGCCACCUUCCCUUGUAGAUUCUGGCCCUUUGUGUCCACUCACCAGGGACUUUCAUUCAUCUCUAGGACUACAGUGAUUAAAAGCAGGAGGAGAGACUGUUCUCAUUGGCUAGCCUCUCUCUGAAUCGUCAUGACGGGCAAAAUUGCAUAAAUAAAUGCUUACUGUGCAGGAACCACCUUUUAAGGAGCUCAGGUGUAUAAUUAUUCCUGCAGAAGGACGUGGGCUGUGUUUGUAUGUGUACGAGACCAGACUCUGCUGGCUGUUCGUUUGUUUUGGUUGUCUUAAUGACGAUCGUGGAUUGCUUCAGGACCGAUGGGUCUGCAGCCUCUGGACCAGUAAGAGAGAUGGCCCAAAUGAGUAAACGGAGGUGUCUACAGAGCCCAUGAAGAAUCAGAGGAGCCUCAACAGCUGGAUGCUAUAAAUGCCUCAGUAUUGGCACUCAUCUUUCAAUCAUUUCACUAAUCAUACAUAGAAUAUUCAGGCAAAGGAUGUUUGCCAUGGAUGCAUCAUCUGCUUCCCAGCUCUGCAGUAUCUGACAGUGAGUGAGAUGGGCUCACUUUAGUGUUAAAUGUGUUGGAUGGAGAUAAUUAAUUCUCAAUCUGUGUGAGUAAAUCAGUUUCCCCUCUUUCCCUAGCAUUAAUCAGGCUCCCACGCACAGGCAGGACCUCACACAUGCUCCCUGCUCUCUGGUAUGCUGUCAAAUCCCGUAGGCCAAAAGAAAUCUACUUUACAGAUUUUAGAUGGAAUUUGAAAAACAAAAGUGUUCUUAUUGAACAGUAAUGAGAUUCUACUAACCUCUUGAUUUAUAGACUAAAUGUGACAGAUGUGGCUAAUUUGGCAUGGAUAAUACUGAAAAAUACAAUAAAAUUCUAUUUUUAAACUAGUGACAGUUGAGAACCUUUCUUCCAUGUAAACAAUCCAGAAGUCCCUCAUUGAAAAAGAAACCCAGUUUCCUGAUUAUGCUGCAAUUAGUACAAAAUAUUUCCAUAAUGAAUUGGAAGCAUUGCAUUUUCUUUUCUCAGUGUUAAAUUUAAGAAAGGCUUUUGAAGCCUUGUGAAGAUAGUGAGACUAACUUUAUUUUUGUAAUUCUCUAUUGAGUUCAAGAAUCCAAUAGUUAGCAUAAAGCUGGCCACACAACAAAGAUCUGUUGAACUAAAAUCUUUAAAGGUUUGUUCAAUUGAAACGUCUGUUUUAUCUUUAGCCCGAUUUUUAUCUGUUUGGAAUGUUCCUCUGGCAAUAGUACCAUAUUCUGACACAUAGUUCUUUUUUUAAGUACGAAAUUACAUUGCCAUUGGAGUUUUAGACUUUGAAUAUGCCCCAUGUGGGACAUUUCAGUUGGUAGAUGGAACUCCUAUGCCACUGAAAAUUUUAGACUAUGUGAAAGGAAAAUCUGUUUCUCUUACUAAUUUCUGUCCAACCACAAUAUGUUUUAUCAGUGCUGAGAUGAUAAAUACAAUUGAAGGAAAUAAAUUACUUUGUUGAUUUGUGUGUGUAUGUUACUGCCUUUAUUUUUCUUAUAAUCACUCUGAAAUUCUUCUGUUGGUAAAAGGAAAGAAAGCUCAGAUAUACCCUCUUGAUUAAAAUUUUGAUACAGACAUAUGAAAAGGAAGGACAAAGAGAGAAAAUAGGACAUGAAGAGGAGAGGAAGUAAGAGAUGCUUUUAUGCAGACAAAGCAAAGAUCUUGACUUGGAGCCUUCUAUUCCUUAUGGGGUCCAGACUUUUGGACACGUCUGUUGAACUGUUAGGACAGGCAGACCUCACUGAGGCCUUUGACAUGGUCGCUAAGCAGCUUCCUGGGAAACAAUCCAUUGCUAGGAUUCCAAACCAUUGGGCGCUUGUGAAGCCAGGUGAGGGGGAUAAUGGGAUUUGGGGGGAGGGAAUCUUGAAGAGCUUGUUCAGAGAGAUCUCAUCCUGAAGAAAGAUGAGUACUAAAGAGACCUUUAAGCAGCCUUUGGAGUGAGAAGUUGCCAUGGUCUGAAUGUCUGUGACUCCAGAUUUCAUAUGUUGAGAUCCUAACCCCAAGAUGAUGGUCUUACCAGGUGGAGCCUGUGGGAGGUGAUUUGGCCCCUUAUAAAAGACACGCCGCCCCCAGCCCCACCC